UUCCAGACUCCUACGGGAGGCAGCAGUGGGGAAUAUUGCACAAUGGGGGAAACCCUGAUGCAGCGACGCCGCGUGAGUGAAGAAGUAUUUCGGUAUGUAAAGCUCUAUCAGCAGGGAAGAAAAUGACGGUACCUGAUUAAGAAGCCCCGGCUAACUACGUGCCAGCAGCCGCGGUAAUACGUAGGGGGCAAGCGUUAUCCGGAUUUACUGGGUGUAAAGGGAGCGUAGACGGUGAUGCAAGUCAGAAGUGAAAGCCCGGGGCUCAACUCCGGGACUGCUUUUGAAACUGUGUGACUGGAGUGCAGGAGAGGUAAGCGGAAUUCCUGGUGUAGCGGUGAAAUGCGUAGAUAUCAGGAGGAACACCAGUGGCGAAGGCGGCUUACUGGACUGUAACUGACGUUGAGGCUCGAAAGCGUGGGGAGCAAACAGGAUUAGAUACCCCAGUAAC
rnacentral:rRNA from 1 species